rnacentral:rRNA from 1 species
GACAGAGGAGGCAAGCGUUGUCCGGACUGACUGGGCGUAAAGCGUCCGCAGGUGGCGUGGCAAGUACGGUGUGAAAUCAGGCGGCUUAACCGCCUGCGGUCAUCGUAGACUGCCUCGCUGGAGGACUGGAGAGGUCGGUGGAAUUGCCGGUGUAGUGGUGAUAUGCGUAGAUAUCGGCAGGAACACCCAAGGGGAAGCCAGCCGACUGGCCAGUGCCUGACACUCAUGGACGACAGCGUGGGGAGCGAACUGG